UACGUAGGGCGCAAGCGUUAUCCGGAAUUAUUGGGCGUAAAGAGCUCGUAGGCGGUUUGUCGCGUCUGCCGUGAAAGUCCGGGGCUCAACUCCGGAUCUGCGGUGGGUACGGGCAGACUAGAGUGCGGUAGGGGAGACUGGAAUUCCUGGUGUAGCGGUGAAAUGCGCAGAUAUCAGGAGGAACACCGGCGGCGAAGGCGGGUCUCUGGGCCGUAACUGACGCUGAGGAGCGAAAGCGUGGGGAGCGAACAGG
rnacentral:rRNA from 1 species